UACGUAGGGUGCGAGCGUUAAUCGGAAUUACUGGGCGUAAAGGGUGCGUAGGCGGUUUGGUAAGUCUCGUGUGAAAUCUCCGGGCUCAACUCGGAGCCUGCACGAGAAACUGCCGGGCUUGAGUGUGGGAGAGGUGAGUGGAAUUCCUGGUGUAGCGGUGAAAUGCGUAGAUAUCAGGAGGAACACCUGUGGCGAAAGCGGCUCACUGGACCAUAACUGACGCUGAUGCACGAAAGCGUGGGGAGCAAACAGG
rnacentral:rRNA from 1 species